UGACUUUCGGAGGAGGUAAUGACCAGUUCCAUUGAUGCCUUUUGGUAUUGUGGAUAGGGGUACAGUUUUCCACUGUACCGAAACCUAGCAGAGGGCCAGUCUGGUGCCAGCAGCUGCGGUAAUUCCAGCUCUGCGAGUUUGCUCCCAUAUUGUUGCAGUUAAAACGCCCGUAGUCUGAAUUGGCCAGCAAUGGUCGUAUGUAUUUAUACGUUCACUGUGAACAAAUCAGGACGCUUAGAGUAUGGCUACAUGAAUGACUCAGCGCAGUAUGAAGUCUUUGUUUUCUUCCGAAAACAAGCUCAACGAGAGCCAUCGGGGGUAGAUCUAUCUCAUGACGAGUGGUGGAAUACUUUGACUCAUGAGAGAGAAUCUGAGGCGAAGGCGUCUACCUAGAGGGUUUCUGUCGAUCAAGGGCGAGAGUAGGAGUAUCCAACAGGAUUAGAGACCCUGGUAGUUCCUACCUUAAACGAUGCCGACAGGAGUUUGUCACUUGUUAGUGGCAGAAUCUUUGGAGAAAUCAUAGUUCUUGGGCUCUGGGGGAACUACGACCGCAAGGCUGAAACUUGAAGGAAUUGACGGAAGGGCACACCAGGGGUGGAGCCUGUGGCUUAAUUUGAAUCAACACGGGGAAACUUACCAGGACCAGAUGUUUUUUAUGACUGACAGGCUUUGGGUCUUUCAGGAUAUUGCUUUUGGUGGUGCAUGGCCGUUGGUGGUGCGUGGGUUGACCUGUCUAGCGUUGAUUCAGCUAACGAGCGAGAUUAUCGCCAAUUAUUUACUUCGUCUAAGUCUUUAGAUUGAAGUUCUAAUUGGGACUCCCUGCGAUUUUAGCAGGUGGAAGAGGGUAGCAAUAACAGGUCCGUGAUGCCCUUUAGAUGCUCUGGGCUGCACGCGUGCUACAAUGUUAGGAUCAAUAGGACUGCAAAGCCGAGAGGCUGCGCUACUCUUAUAAUCCCUAACGUAGUUGGGAUUGACGUUUGUAAUCAGCGUCAUGAACCAGGAAUCCCUUGUAAAUGUGUGUCAACAACGCACGUUGAAUACGUCCCUGCCCUUUGUACACACCGCCCGUCGCUCCUACCGAUUGGAUGACUCGGUGAAAUCACCGGAUGCUUACGAGCAGAAAGUGAU
rnacentral:rRNA from 1 species